rnacentral:rRNA from 1 species
GAUAGAGGCCUACCAUGGUGGUAACGGGUAACGGGGUGUUAGGGCACGACACCGGAGAGGGAGCCUGAGAAACGGCUACCACAUCCAAGGAUGGCAGCAGGCGCGCAAUUACCCAAUCCCGACACGGGGAGGUAGUGACAAUAAAUAACAAUACGGGGUUCUUUCGGGUCUCGUAAUUGGAAUGAGUACAAUUUAAAUCUCUUAACGAGGAACAAUUGGAGGGCAAGUCUGGUGCCAGCAGCCGCGGUAAUUCCAGCUCCAAUAGCGUAUAUUAAAGUUGUUGCAGUUAAAAAGCUCGUAGUUGAAUUUCGGGGUUAGUAGGUUGGUCAUGCCUCUGGUAUGUACUGGUCUCACUGAUUCCUCCUUCCUGAUGAACCGUAAUGCCAUUAAUUUGGUGUUGCGGGGAAUUUGGACUGUUACUUUGAAAAAAUUAGAGUGUUUAAAGCAAGCUAACGCUUGAAUACAUUAGCAUGGAAUAAUGAAAUAGGACGUUCGAUCCUAUUUUGUUGGUUUCUAGGAUUGACGUAAUGAUUAAUAGGGAUAGUUGGGGGCAUUAGUAUUCAAUUGUCAGAGGUGAAAUUCUUGGAUUUAUUGAAGACUAACUACUGCGAAAGCAUUUGCCAAGGAUGUUUUCAUUAAUCAAGAACGAAAGUUAGGGGAUCGAAGACGAUCAGAUACCAUCGUAGUCUUAACCAUAAACUAUGCCGACUAGGGAUCGG